rnacentral:rRNA from 1 species
UACAGAGGCCUCGAGCGUUAGGCGGAAUCACUGGGCUUAAAGCGUGUGUAGGCGGACUUCUAAGUACCUUGUGAAAUCCCACGGCUUACCCGUGGAACUGCUCGGUAUACUGGUUGUCUUGAGCCACCUAGGGGCGAGUGGAACAAAUGGUGGAGCGGUGAAAUGCGUAGAUAUCAUUUGGAACGCCAAUGGUGAAAACAGCUCGCUGGGGGUGUGCUGACGCUGAGACACGAAAGCCAGGGGAGCGAACGGG